AUACGGAGGGAUCAAGCGUUAUUCGGAAUCACUGGGCGUAAAGGACGCGUAGGCGGGUUUGUAAGUCAGGUGUGAAAUCCUACAGCUCAACUGUAGAACUGCACUUGAAACUACAGACCUAGAGUAUGGAAGGGGCAGAUGGAAUUAGUGGUGUAGGGGUAAAAUCCGUAGAUAUCACUAGGAAUACCGAAAGCGAAGGCGAUCUGCUGGGACAUUACUGACGCUGAGGCGUGAAAGCGUGGGGAGCAAACAGGAUUAGAAACCCCGGUAGUCC
rnacentral:rRNA from 1 species